rnacentral:rRNA from 1 species
UGAAUACGAGAUGCUACGGCGUCGAAGCAGUGUAUGUCAGACUUCCAAGAAAAGCUCGCAAUGUCAUAAAUAAAUAAUGCCUGUACCAUAACCGACACAGGUGGGUAGGUAGAGUAUACUAAGGGGCGCGAGAUAACUCUCUCUAAGGAACUCGGCAAAAUAACUCCGUAACUUUGGGAGAAGGAGUGCCUUAUUUAUAAGGUUGCAAUAACAAGAUCCAAGCAACUGUUUAUCAAAAACACAGGUCUCCGCUAAGUCGUAAGACGAUGUAUGGGGGCUGACGCCUGCCCAGUGCCAGAAGGUUAAAGAAGUUGGUUAGCAUUGCGAAGCUGAUGACUGAAGCCCUGGUGAACGGCGGCCGUAACAAUAACGGUCCUAAGGUAGCGAAAUUCCUUGUCGGGUAAGUUCCAACCCGCACGAAAGGCGUAAUGAUUUGGAUACUGUCUCGGAGAGGGACUCGGUGAAAUAGACUUGUCUGUGAAGAUGCGGACUACCUGCACCAGGACAGAAAGACCCUAUGAAGCUUUACUGUAACUUGAAAUUGAAAUUGGACUUUAUUUGCGCAGUAUAGGUGGGAGGCGUUGAAAAUAAUCUCGCGGGAUUAUUGGAGUCAUCAGUGAGAUACCACUCCUAUAAUGUUAGAUUUCUAACUUUGUAUCAUUAUCUGGUCAAAGAACAGUUUCAGGCGGGCAGUUUGACUGGGGCGGUCGCCUCCUAAAUGGUAACGGAGGCGUACAAAGGUUUCCUCUGAACGGGUAGAAAUCGUAUCUAGAGUAUAAAGGCAUAAGGAAGCUUGACUGUGAGACCUACAAGUCGAGCAGGGACGAAAGUCGGUCUUAGUGAUCUGACGGUGCUGAGUGGAAAGGCCGUCACUCAACGGAUAAAAGUUACUCUAGGAUAACAGGCUGAUCUCCCCCAAGAGUUCACAUCGACGGGGAGGUUUGGCACCUCGAUGUCGGCUCAUCGCAUCCUGGGGCGGUAGUACGUCCCAAGGGUUGGGCUGUUCGCCCAUGAAAGCGGUACGCGAGCUGGGUUCAGAACGUCGUGAGACAGUUCGGUCCAUAUCCGGUGUAGGCGUUAGAAUAUUGAGAGGAGCCUUCUUUAGUACGAGAGGACCGAGAAGGACAUACCUCUGGUGUACCAGUUAUCGUGCCAACGGUAAACGCUGGGUAGCUAUGUAUGGAGUGGAUAACCGCUGAAAGCAUCUAAGUGGGAAGCCCACCUCAAGAUGAGUAUUCC